rnacentral:rRNA from 1 species
AAUAACAAUACAGGGCCUAACGGUUUUGUAAUUGGAAUGAGUGAAGUAUAAACCCCUUUACGAGUAUCAAUUGGAGGGCAAGUCUGGUGCCAGCAGCCGCGGUAAUUCCAGCUCCAAUAGCGUAUAUUAAAGUUGUUGCAGUUAAAAAGCUUGUAGUUGGAUUUCUGUUGUAUAAUUUUAUAAUAUUACCAAGGUAAUUAUUAUAUUAUCAACAUCCUUCCUAUUAUAUUCUAAAUAUAUAGGAAAUUUUACUUUGAGAAAAUUAGAGUGCUUAAAGCAG